UGAAGUUCAGGCGCGCGUCCUCCUCCUGCGCCCCGUCCCCUCCGAGCAGGUCCAGUAGAGUGAACGGAAGUGGGUUCAAAUAUGGGCGGAGGGUGAGGGGCGAGGGAAAGACGGGGUCAAGAGGAAACGAAAGAUGCCUCCCUCCGUCGACCAAGGCGAAGUACCUGAAAAGCAAGAAAUACAACUGCCCAGACAGAGUGAAAGAGAAAACUAGUAAAGCGUACAAGAUAGAUUAAUAUCAUUGAUUAAGCUCCAGCAACCUCUUCUACCAAUUAAUCCUAGUCAUGAAUGAUAGAUACACUUAUGGAUACGAGAUUUCCUCAAUUCAACUAAGCCUUUUGUUUUGGAGAAAGAAAAACAUUUUAAAGCCACUGAGGGCAAUCACACAGAAUGAUACCCAUUUCCCAUAAGUGGCUUCAUGUAUGUUGGUCGUGAUUUAUGUGAUGGAUGAAGCAAAAGUAACUCUCCAUCUGCAAGACAGUCUAAAGGAAACUUGAUCCUCUGGACAUUCCCCCAAACAUCAUGCUGAUCCACCAUAUUGAUGACAUUAUUAAUUCAACCUGGAAAGCAGGAAGGGGCAAAUACUACAGAUGCCCUGGGCAAUAAUCAGAGAUUUGUCAUUUACCACAAACCUAAUGAAAUCAAGUUUUCUCUCGUGGAGUGUCACUGGAGUGGCCAUGGGCAUUUGGAGUCUUGCUAAAUAAAA